rnacentral:rRNA from 1 species
GACGAACGCUGGCGGCGCGCCUAACACAUGCAAGUCGAACGAGCGAGAGAGAGCUUGCUUUCUCGAGCGAGUGGCGAACGGGUGAGUAACGCGUGAGGAACCUGCCUCAAAGAGGGGGACAACAGUUGGAAACGACUGCUAAUACCGCAUAAGCCCACGGUGCCGCAUGGCACAGAGGGAAAAGGAGCAAUCCGCUUUGAGAUGGCCUCGCGUCCGAUUAGCUAGUUGGUGAGGUAACGGCCCACCAAGGCGACGAUCGGUAGCCGGACUGAGAGGUUGAACGGCCACAUUGGGACUGGGACACGGCCCACACUCCUACGGGAGGCAGCAGUGGGGAAUAUUGCACAAUGGGGGAAACCCUGAUGCAGCGACGCCGCGUGGAGGAAGAAGGUCUUCGGAUUGUAAACUCCUGUUGUUGGGGAAGAUAAUGACGGUGCCCAACAAGGAAGUGACGGCUAACUACGUGCCAGCAGCCGCGGUAAAACGUAGGUCACAAGCGUUGUCCGGAAUUACUGGGUGUAAAGGGAGCGUAGGCGGGAAGACAAGUUGGAAGUGAAAUCUAUGGGCUCAACCCAUAAACUGCUUUCAAAACUGUUUUUCUUGAGUAGUGCAGAGGUAGGCGGAAUUCCCGGUGUAGCGGUGGAAUGCGUAGAUAUCGGGAGGAACACCAGUGGCGAAGGCGGCCUACUGGGCACCAACUGACGCUGAGGCUCGAAAGUGUGGGUAGCAAACAGGAUUAGAUACCCUGGUAGUCCACACCGUAAA